rnacentral:lncRNA from 1 species
GCUGGAUCUUUGGGGUACCUACAGUUAAAACAAUGAACAAACAUGGCUCUUCAGGUCCCAUGUGGCACCUAGGCCUUUGAGAACAUCUUUAUACUGUUUGGAUAACCCUCCUACCAGCAUCUUCCAGUGGUUAAUGAUAAGGAUCAAGAAGGGCCUCCUAAGCUAGUAGCUAUUAAUAAUUGUAAACAUGUAUUAUAUACUUAAUGCUCACACUGUGUUGAGUACUUUACAUGAUUAUCUCAUUUAGUCCUCACAACAAAUCUUUGAGGUAAGUAUUACUAUUAAUUGCAUUUGGCAGAAAAGCAAACUGAAGUUUAGUGAAGGCAAAUAACUUGCUCAAGAUGACACUGCUGGUAAGUAGCAGAGCUAGAAGGAACCUGGAAACCUGACUUCCCAGCUCAAGUGCUAAUGAUGGCAUUACUUUGAGUAUUGUUACUGGGACAUCCUCCUGAUCUACUCUAAAAAUCUAGAUCACCAACAUAUAUAUUCCUGGAUGCAGUAUUGCUAAGAACUGGUUUUAACCUCUAGAUCUGUGUUUGAGGACUCACAGAUUCAUUACUGGUCCACAUAUACCAGCAGGGCUUCUGCAUGAUACCCAGUAGGACUUUCUUAAAAUUGUGGAAAGCAUUCAGUGUAUCUUGAGAUGUACUAGUCUUAUGGAUAAUUCAUCUCUUCAGUUCUAUCCAGACCACCUCAUAAAGGAGAAUAUAUUAAGCAUUGCCAGGCUGCAUCAUCAAGCUAUGAAAAAUAGCUUGCCUCUCAAGCCUUCCCUACUUCCCCAUAUCAUUGGAAGCUUUACUUCUAUCCCUGUGGUAUCAGGGAAUAUCUUACUCCUAGAGGAGCCAGACAACAGUGACUUCCACAAUAGCCUCAUGUGGGAGUGAGAGUUAAUAACUUGAAAGAUGGCCGGGUACGGUGGCUCACACCUGUAAUCCCAGCACUUUGGGAGGCUGAGGCGGGCAGAUCACGAGGUCAAGACCAUCCUGGCCCACAUGGUGAAACCCUGUCUCUACUAAAAAUACAAAAAUUAGCUGGGCAUGGUGGCGCGCAUCUGUAGUCCCAGCUACUCGGGAGGCUGAGGCAAGGACAAUUGCUUGAAUCCGGAAGGCAGAGGUUGCAGUUAGCUGAGAUCACACCACUGCACUCCAGCCUGGCGACAGAGCAAGAUUCCAUCUCAACAAAACAAAACAAAACAAAACAAAACAAAACAAAAACUUGAAAGACUGCCCAAGAAAGGUGAAGGUUAGAUCUCAGGGGAUGAUCUUGAAGCAACUGAGACAGACCUAGAAACUUGCCUCAUAUGAUACAAGAAGACCCAGCUUCUUUGUCUCUACCCUGUAGGCACUGGGUAGACAGGUAGGUGAUAUUUUACUUCACAAACAAGGGAACUAAAAGUAUGAACAUUUCUCUGUUCCUCAUUAUCUCUGCCCUAAAAUAUUUUGGCUAUCUAGCCCCAGUUAGAGCGGACUGGCACUGUCUGGUACAGGAGGUAUGCAGCAGAUGUUCUGCAUCUGAGCUCCAUUAUGACUGUCCCCCAACAAAUCAUCCCCCAGCCAGCCCAAGGGAACGUGGAAUUCAGAGGGGAACUGUUCUAACCAGGAGCAGCCAAUUAGAUCCAGGCCAGAGAAACCCAUAUCCAGGCACUUUAUCUUUGUCCUAAAAUGAACCUAGCUAACCUCUUCAGGCUAUCCAAAACCCUGACCACUCCACAUAGAGAGACAUUUGCUAGCCUUACAUGUCACUUUCCACUGUACACAUACCAAUGACACCUGAACCAGAUAUAAAGACAGACCCACAAAGGUUCUGCUGAGCCUAAGGAUCUGCUCACCUAUUUCUGAUCCCGAAUGCCCCUGGGACAUCUUCCAGAAUGUGUGCCUCCAAAUAAAGUCUAGAAAAUUGGAGGAAAAUUUAAAUGCAGAUGAAUCGAGAAGGAAUAAAAGCCAUUAGAAAUUCUGGGAAAACAAGAAAUAUAGAAGAAAGUCACGGGGCUGGGUGUGGUAGCUCACGCCUGUAAUCCCAGCACUUUAGGAGGCCAAGUCGGGCGGAUCACCUGAGGUCAGGAGUUCGAGGCCAGCCUGGCCAACAUGGAGAAACCCUGCCUCUACUAAAAAUACAAAGAUUAGCCAGGCGUGGUGGCACAUGCCUGUAAUCCCAGCUACUCAGGAGGCUGAGCAGGAGAAUCGCUUGAACUGGAGAGGUGGAGGUUGCGGUAAGCUGAGAUCGCACCACUGCACUCCAGCAUGGGUAACAAGAGCAAAACUCCAUCUCAAAAAAAAACAAACAAAAAAAAACAAAAGUCACAACCCAAAUAUGAAGCAAACAAACUUUCAGAUGAUGAUGGUACAGUGUGUUUAUAACACUAACAACUCACUUUUCUCCCCACACAUAGCAAUCGUAAAAAUAAAAACAGCCAGGCACAGUGGCUCAUGCCUAUAAUCCCAGCGCUUUGGGACACAGAGUUGGGCAGAUCACCUGAUGUCAGGAAAUCGAGGCCAGCCUGGCCAAUAUGGCAAAACCCCGUCUCUACUAAAAAUACAAAAAAAAAAAAAAAAAUAGCUAGGUGUGGCGGUGAGUGCCUGUAAUCCCAAGUACCUGAGAUGCUGAGGCAGGAGAGUUACUUGAACCCAGGAGGUGGAGGUUGCAGUGAGCUGAGAUCGCAGCAUUGCACUCCAGCCUGGGUGACAAGAGUGAAACUCCAUCUCAAAAAAAUAAAUUAAUAAAAAAUAAAACAAAACAAAACAAAAACAAAGGCUUGGGCACAGUGGCUCAUGCCCAUAAUCCUAGCAUUUUGGGAGGCUGAGACAGGAUUGCUUGAGUCCAGGAGUUCAAGACCAGCCUGGACAAAAUAGCAAGACACUAUCUGUACAAAAAAUUAAACAAUUAGCUGGGCAUGGUGGCAUGUGCCUGUAGUCUCAGCUACUUGGGAGGCUGAGGUGGAAGGAUCACUUGAGCCCAGGAGAUUGAGUCUGCAGUGGGCUAUGAUUAUGCCACUACACUCCAGCCUGGGAGACAGAAUAAGACUCUGUCAAAAAAUAAUAAUAAUAAUAACAAAAAAGGAAAAGAAAAAGAAAACUAAAAGAUAUAGUCAGGCUCAAAUACCAGAUAAAGAUAUCCAAAAUCCAGAGAGCAAUAGAAACUGUGAACAGCGAAAAGGACUGAAACUGGGUAGCUGGUAGUUUGGCUUUUGUAGGGCAAAAGGGAUUGAAAAUGCUUCAUAGGAGAUGGGAGACUGGAGCCAGGCACAAGCUCAAAGACCUGAACAGUGGUGGGGCACCCUCAAUGUUAUGAAGAGAGAAUGAAAAUGAGCUGCUCCUAACUGCUGCUUGGGACCGUAGGUUCUAGUGAGCUGUAGGCCUAAGGUUUACAAGGCCAUAGCCUUGCAACCAAGAGAUAAGUCAAACACCCAAUGUUUAUGACUAGAUCUGCCCUGCUCUUAAUAUCUUCUUUGAUUCACUGCUAGUAGACUGUGUUCUGAUUUAGAGACCCGGACUGUGGAAUAGAAGCAAUAAAAAAACUGAUGGGCAAGGGAAGGUAAGGAGAGGGGUUGAGAAAGACAGAAAAAGAGGCUGGGCAGAGUAAGAUUCUGUCAGGAAAGAAAGAAAGAGAGAGAGAGAGAAAGAAAGAAAGAAAGAAAGAGAAAGAAAGAAAAGAAAGAGAAAAAGAAAGAAAGAAAAGAAAGAAAGAAAGAAAGAAAGAAAGAAAGAAAGAAGGAAGGAAGGAAGGAAGGAGAGGGAGGGAGGGAGGGAAGGAAGGAAGGAAAGAAAGAAAGAAAACGGAAGAGAAGGGAAGGGAAAGUAGGGAGGGAGGGAGGAAAGGAAGGAAGGAAGCAAGGAAGGAAGGAGAAAGAAGAAAGAAAGAGAAAGAGAGAAAGAAAAAAAGAAAGAAGAAGGAAGAAAGGAGGGAGGGAAGGAAGGAAGGGAAGGAAAGAAAGAAAACAAUAUAUUUUCACUAAAAAACCCAUACACCAAAAUCCCAAAACAAAUAUAUUGCUAAUAAAGAUAGCCAAUAAAAUCAACAAUUGGAAUAGUAAUCCAAUCCAGCUGAAUGCUUUACACAAUGGUAUGACAAAGCCUUAAACAUAAGUAUGCUGAGGAUGUAAAAAAAUAUAUAAAUUAAGAUAUAACUUCCCUAAAACAAAAUGGGGAAAAAAAGGAAACUCUUUUAGAUGGGUAUCUAAAAGAACCAAUUCGAAAUAUGGAAAUCAAAAAUAACAAUCAUUUGAAAAAGGAAUGAACCACUCAUACAUACAACAUGGAUGAACCUCAAAAACAUUAUACUAAAUGAAAGUAACUAGAUGCAAAAGACCGGCCGGGCGCAGGGGCUCACACCUGUAAUCUCAAUACUUCGGGAGGCGGAGGCGGGAAGAUCACCUGAGGUCAGGAGUUUGAGACCAGCCUGGUCAACAUGGUGAAACCCCAUCUCUACUAAAAACACAAAAAUUAGCUGGGCAUGGUGGUGGGCGCCUCUAGUUCCAGCUACUUGAGAGGAUGAGGCAGGAGAAUCACUUGAACCCGGGAGGUGGAGGAUGCAGUGAGCCGAGAUUGUGCCACUGCACUCCAGCCUGGGCAACAGAGUGAGACUCCAUCUCGAAAAAAUAAUAAUCUUUUUGGGGUGAUGGAAAUGUUCUAAAACUGAAUUGUGUUGAGGGAGCCACAACUCUAUAAGUUUACUAAAAAUAUUCAAAUUAAACACUUUAAAUGGGUGAAUUUUAUGGCAUAUAAAUUAAAUCUUGGCCGGGCACGGUGGCUCAUGCCUGUAAUCCCAGCACUUUGGGAGGCCGAGGUGGGUGGAUCACCUGAGAUCGGGAGUUCGAGACCAGCCUGACCAACAUGGAGAAACCCCGUCUCUACUAAAAAUACAAAAUUAGCUGGGCGUGGUGGCGCAUACGCCUGUAAUCCCAGCUACUUGGGAGGCUGAAACAGGAGAAUCGCUUGAACCCGGGAGGCAGAGAUUGUGGUGAGCCGAGAUCACGCCAUUGCCCUCCAGCUGGGGCAACAAGAGUGAAACUCUGUCUCAAAAAAAAAAAAAACAAAACAUAAAUUACAUUUCAAUGAAGUUAUUAAAAAUUAUAUUAUCAUUGGAAUAAAAAAGUGUUAUAGUUAAGGAUACACUCUAAACUGGACAUAGUUGAAAAUUAGGAAUUGAAGACAACACUGGGGAACUCUCAGUAUGCCAUGCAGAGAGAUCAUGAGAUUAAACAUGAUAGAGCAUUAAAAGACAGAGAAUAGAUUUUGAGGCUCCAACAAUUAUCUAAUAAAAGUUCCAGAGAAAGAGAAUGGAAGUUGUUUAGAGAAGCAACAUUUGAAGUGGAGAUUGCUAAGGAUUUCUAAAAAACGGAAGAAACACUAAUUUAUUUAUGAAAUAUUCAUCAGGUGUCUGUUUUGUGCCAGGCACUGGGAACUGAACUUAGUGAACAAAUUAGAUGUGCAUUUUCAGUGCCAAGCAGGAUAAAUAAAAAUACCAAGCUACAUAAUAAUAAAACUGCAAAGCUUUAAGGAGAUUUUAAGAUUCUGUCUUAAAGAUUAAAUCUUAAAGAUUUAAGACAUAAUCUUAAAAUCUCCCAGAGACAAAUGAAUGAUUAUCUGCAGAGUAAUGACAGAUCAACAGCAAAUUGAAUAUCAGCAAUAGUGGACGUCAGAAAACAGUAAUGAUAGUGAUGAGAAAUAACCACGUGCACAGAAUUUUUUUUACCCGGACAUACUAUGAUUCAUUAAUGGGGGUGGGGGGAAAAUAUGUCCAGAUAUGCAAAAAAACAAAAGAACUCACCAUCCAUAGAGCUUCAUUAAGAGGCCAGGCAUGGUGGCUCAUGCCUGUAAUCACAGCACUUUGGGAGGCUGAGGUGGGAGGACUGCUUGAGUCCAGGAGUUCAAGACCAGCUUGGGCAACAUGGUAAAACCCCAUCUCAACAAAAAAUUAGAACAUUAGCUGGGUGUGGUGGCAUAGGCCUGUAGUCCCAGCUAUUUGAGAGGCUGAUGAUUGCUUGUGCCUGGGAGGCAGAAGUUGCAAUGAGCAGUGAUUGUGCUCCUGCACUCUAACCUGGGUAACAAAGCAAUACCCUGUCUCAAAAAAAAAAAAAAAAUAAAAUAAAAUAAAAAAAUAAAAAGAAGAUCCAUUAAAGAUGUCCUUUAGCAAGAAAAAAAAAAGAACACAGAAAGAAGACAUGGAAUACAAGAAACAAUAAAUAAAAUGUCAGUAAGUUUAUUUCCUGUUUUAAAAAUACUAAUUUCUGUGUCUUUUCACAUAGAUCGAAGCCCAGUAAUUUUAGGGGGAGAAAAGAAAGAAAAGAAAAAAUAGAAUUAAAGCUAUACCUCUAAAUUACAGUAAGAAGACAGAGCUAGUAUUUAAUGGGUUGUUAAGCAUCCUAAGACCUGUGUUUCGGUUAAGAGCAUAAUACAAAUACUGAAUUAUUAUAAACUAAUAAGAAAUAUGUAUAACUCAUGAUGUAUAUACAAGUUUAAUUUAAAAAUAGAAAUAUCAGCCAGGCACAGUGGCUCACGCCUAUAAUCCCAGCACUUUGGGAGGCCAAGGCAGGCAGAUCACAAGGUCGAGAGAUCGAGACCAUCCUGGCCAACAUGGUAAAACCCCAUCUCUACUAAAAACACAAAAAAAUUAGCUGUGCGUAGUGGCACCCACCUGUAGUCCCAGCUACUUGGAAGGCUGAGGCAGGAAGAUCACUUGAACCCAGGAGGCGGAGGUUGCAGUGAGCCGAGAUGGUGCCACUGCACUCCAGCCUGGCAACAGAGGGAGACAACAUCUCGGAAAAAAAAAAAUAAAAAACUACAAUAAUUACUUAAUUAAGGGAAAAAAAGAGAAAUACCAGAAAUUUUAUCAAGUAGGAAAAAAAGAAGAAAAGAAAAAUUAUAGUAAACAGAAAACACAAAUUAGGUGGUAGAAUUAGGUUAAAAUAUAUCAAUCACAAAAUAUAUAAACGAAUUAAAUUCCCCUAUAUAAAAACAAAAUUACCAAAUUGAGUUUGUAAAAAUUCUAGCUCUGUAUGUCUGGGAUACACAUCUAAAACAAAACUACCCAGGCCAGGUGUGGUGGUUCAUGCCUGUAAUCCCAGCACUUUUGGAGGCCGCGGUGGGCAGAUCACCUGAGGUCAGGAGUUCAAGACCAGCCUGGUCGACAUGGCGAAACCCUGUCUCUACUAAAAAUACAAAAAUUAUCUGGGCAUGGUGGCAGGCGCCUGUAAUCCCAACUACUCGGGAGGCUGAGGCAGGAGAAUUGCUUGAACCCGGGAGGCAGAGGUUGCAGUGAGCCGAGAUCGUGCUACUGCACUGUAGCCUGGGCGACAGAGCAAAACUCUGUCUCAAAAAAACAACAAAAAACACCGAGAAAAGUUAGAAAUAAAAGGAUGAAAAGAGACAGGUACUUUAACUGUUACCCCUGCAAAAGCUGGGGUAGCAAUAUUAAUAUAAGACAAAUAUUAUUUAAGGCAAACAAACUAAAAUGUGGCAUAAUUUUAAUUGGCUGAUAGUGUAAGAAAAUAGAUGCCAUCUGACCUUGAUGUUAGGAACAAUUUCUUUUAUAUAGUCUAGGCAUAAUGACAUUGAAGAAGAAAAUGUAGUCCUAAUAUGCUACCUGGCCCAGCAUUGGACAAUAUUUACAUGGUCAUACUAAUGGAAAUGUUGUUUGGUUUGCAACUUUUAGAGUCAUCUCAGGGAAAAACCAAGGAUGUCUUGGCAGGCAGAAUGAAUAUGUUAUCAACUUGACAAAGUAAAAAUAAAAGUAUGUGGACAUUAGAGAUUAAUGGCACAUGGAAGGAGGAAGAAAGUACAAGAAUUAAUAUAGUGUACAAGAGUUAAUAUUCUUAUAUAGAGUAGGAGUCAAGAGGCCCCGUCAAAAGUUGAUGGAAUGAGAAAUUGGAAGUUUAAGCCCGAGCACUGUGGCUCAUGCCUGUAAUCCCAACACUUUGGGAGGCCGAGGCAGGAGGAUUGCUUGACUUCAAGAGUUCAAGACCAGCCUGGGCAAAAUGGCAAAACCCUGGCUCUACUAAAAAUACAAAAAAUUAGCCGGGCAUGGCGUUGCAUGCCUGUAGCUCCAGCUACUUGGAAGUCUGAGGUGAGAGGAUGGUUUGAGCCCGGGAGGCAGAGGUUACAGUGAGCAAGAUCUCACCACUGCACUCCAGCCUAGGUGACAGAGCCAGAUCCUGUGUCAAAAGAUUUAUUUAAAAAGAAAAAUCAAAAACAAAAACAAAAAAACCAUGCAGCCUGAACAAAUUACUGGGGAUGUAAACCAGAGCCACUGAGUGUGUGUGUCUUGAGAGGAGCUGUAUCUCCGUGGGGUUUCUGUGACUUUUCUUGGCAUUAGCUUUGACACCGGAAUUUUGGUUCUACCAUUGUCGAUUAACAACCAUAAAUUCUCACAUCCACUAACACUGAGGUCAUUGGUAUUGUAGUCCUUCGUGCCUUGAAUGGCAUAUCUGAAUUUCUGCUUUCCUGCUGGGGGCAGCAAUCAACAAUUAUUAGUAUUUCUUCCUGAAUAUAAAGAAGCCUGGCCAGAAAAGGAUGGGUAGCCUUGCAAAGAUUUUGACUGAGGUUCUGAUUAUUCAGCUAGAACCCUUCUCUUCCUUUCAGAUACAAUUUUCCAUAAGGAGUGAAUACCUUUUGGAAGGAAGUUGGAAGUCUAGGUGACAGGGUAAAAGGAGGACUUACUUAUCUCAGUACACACUUUGGUACCUUUCAAAUUUGAGGCAUGAAUUUUAUUUUUUUUAUUCAAAAGGUCUAUUAAAACAUACCUACUUUAAUCUUUAAAUGCUGAAUUGAUAUGUUAUUAAGCUUUUAAGGCUCUCUCUGCAAGGAUUUUUAAGAAGAGCCAGCCUUUUGGAGCCUAAGCCCAAAGAUCCUGUUGACAAUUUUACAGGGAAGAAACCCAACAAAUUUUUAAUGACGUUGGCGGUGUUAUUGCAGAUAAUAAUUAUGAGAGUGCCAAUGAUAAACAGCAACCCAUUGCAUCACCCCACAACCCAAAGCACUGAAGCUUUGUGAAGAGUGAACACCCUGAUUGCCCCAGAAUGGCAUGUCGGUAAUGCCACUGCCAACUUCCCUGAAGGCUGGCCCUGUUCUUGACAUGGCUCCACUUGCUCUCGAGAGUUUCUUCUCUCUACUCUCUCAGCAGAUCAUUCUGUCCUUCAUCACCGGAUUUGGUAACCCUGACUCUAGGAAUUUUCUCCACUCAUUGUCGGAUGCUGUGGUUGAGAAUAACACAUGUAUUUGGGAAGAACCUACCUUUCAGUGAAUUAUAAAUGCUCACUAGUCAAGCAUCAUGCACGGAAAGCAUAUUAUUAAAUGAUGUGUUCGUAUCUCUCAGGUGCCAAGCACGUCCACUAAAGCAUUGUCUGACAAUUGCAGACCUGCAGACAGGGAUUGUGGGGAGAGACAUAUGAAAAUCAUUGCUACAUAGACAUACCACUUAGCCCAAUUAAUCACACAUCAGCUGUCUGAAUGCUGCCUGGCCCAAGGCAGACGCUGAAGUUCCAUAUACCUCAUCGCAUAGACUUGAUCUUUGUCACAGAGGAUUCACCAUCCCUGCUGCUCCCUCCCUCCUUCCCUCCCUCCCUGUCUUCCUCCCUUCUUCUCCUUAUCUUCCCUUCACUCACCAGACAUCCUUUGAGCUAUGUGUGCCAGACGCUCUUCCAAUAAGAAGGUGUCAAGAAUCCUAUGCCAACUUUAAAUUUAGGAAAGUCUGAAAGAUGCUAACAUCAGGAGAUGAGGUGGGGUUUUUUCAGACUCUAUCCUAGAAACAAGUGGAACAAAC